CUUUUUCGCCCUAAAAACUUCCGCCUCACAACAACAAAAUACUCCUUUCCUUCUUCUUCUUAAUCGAAGUUAUCCGCUUAAUGGUUUUACACCUCCAUUAAUCGAAGUUCUCCGCUUCUUCUUCUUCUUCUUCUUCUUCUUCUUCUUCUUCUUCUUCUACUAACUUCUCUUUUCCUCUUCAAUCGCCGCCGCUUUUACACCUCCCAGAUUCACAUGGAGAUACCAAAAGGCUCAAAUUGAAGACUAGAGAAGCAUUAAGUUUACCUCAGCAAGAACGUGUUGUGCUGGAGUUUGAUUGCUUGGAUCCGAUUGGCGACGCACAAGGCCUUCUUGUAGGCGUAUGUGGCCUUUUAGCAACUGACUGUACCAUAUUUUCUUAGCUUUGAUAAAUGGUCGGAUAUGCCUAAGUCAUACUUUAACGACUGCUUUACUAACAUUAUAAAGCCUCAUUUCUGUUUUAUGACCAUUGAGGAAGUUGUACGGGAAUAUGUUUAUCGCUCUAUUGCAAAGAAGUGGACUGCAAGUAGGCAGAAAUUGUGAUAUGAGUUUAAAGACCCACUUAAAACCAAAGAUGAGAUUAUGGAUAAUGUUCCGGUAGGUAUUACUCGGGAUCAAUGGACUUCCUUUGUGAAUUACCAUUAUAAAGAAGAAACUCAGAACACGUGUAAAAGAAAUGCUGAAAAUCGGAAAAAAUAAAUAGUUCCACACACCGGUGGCUCCAAACCUAAUUCUAGAAGAAGGGCUGAAAUGAUGGCUGAGACAGGGAGAAAGCCUGGACGAGCAUAACUUUAUCUCGCUAUACAUACGAAAAAAGAUGGAUCAUAUGUAAAUAAGGAGGCAAAAGAAAUAUGUUUAAGUGAUGAGCUAGUGGACCCAUUUCACCUAUGGAUGCAAGAAGAUCUUUUGGCGCUAGUAAUCCCAGUGACAGCUAUUGAGAUUCAUUUUAAUCGAAGUGGAUGUAUUAGGAUAACGUAAUAGCUGACUAAUAUAGACGGUUAACUAUGUUCUAAGUUAGCUUGAUGACAUAUGAUACUACUCUGUCAUAGUAUUUUUC